AGCGAACGCUGGCGGCAGGCCUAACACAUGCAAGUCGAACGAACUCUUCGGAGUUAGUGGCGGACGGGUGAGUAACACGUGGGAACGUGCCUUUAGGUUCGGAAUAACUCAGGGAAACUUGUGCUAAUACCGAAUGUGCCCUUCGGGGGAAAGAUUUAUCGCCUUUAGAGCGGCCCGCGUCUGAUUAGCUAGUUGGUGAGGUAAAGGCAUACCAAGACGACGAUCAGUAGCUGGUCUGAGAGGAUGAUCAGCCACAUUGGGACUGAGACACGGCCCAAACUCCUACGGGAGGCAGCAGUGGGGAAUCUUGCGCAAUGGGCGAAAGCCUGACUCAGCCAUGCCGCGUGAAUGAUGAAGGUCUUAGGAUUGUAAAAUUCUUUCACCGGGUACGAUAAUGACGGUACCCGGAGAAGAAGCCCCGGCUAACUUCGUGCCAGCCGCCGCCGUAA
rnacentral:rRNA from 1 species